UACGAGGGGGGCAAGCGUUGUUCGGAAUUAUUGGGCGUAAAGGGUGCGUAGGCGGUCUGACAAGUCUGAUGUGAAAUCUAUAGGCUCAACCCAUAGUCUGCAUCGGAAACUGUCGGGCUUGAGUAUGGGAGAGGUGAGUGGAAUUUCCGGUGUAGCGGUGAAAUGCGUAGAUAUCGGAAGGAACACCUGUGGCGAAAGCGGCUCACUGGACCAUUACUGACGCUGAGGCACGAAAGCUAGGGGAGCAAACGGG
rnacentral:rRNA from 1 species